rnacentral:rRNA from 1 species
UGGGGAAUAUUGGACAAUGGGCGAAAGCCUGAUCCAGCCAUGCCGCGUGUGUGAAGAAGGUCUUCGGAUUGUAAAGCACUUUAAGUUGGGAGGAAGGGCAGUAAGCGAAUACCUUGCUGUUUUGACGUUACCGACAGAAUAAGCACCGGCUAACUCUGUGCCAGCAGCCGCGGUAAUACAGAGGGUGCAAGCGUUAAUCGGAAUUACUGGGUGUAAAGCGCGCGUAGGUGGUUCGUUAAGUUGAAAGUGAAAGCCCCGGGCUCAACCUGGGAAAUGCAUCCAAAACUGGCGAGCUAGAGUAGGGCAGAGGGUGGUGGAAUUUCCUGUGUAUCGGUGAAAUGCGUAGAUAUAGGAAGGAACACCAGUGGCGAAGGCGACCACCUGGGCUCAUACUGACACUGAGGUGCGAAAGCGUGGGGAGCAAACAGG